rnacentral:rRNA from 1 species
UACAGAGGGUGCAAGCGUUGUUCGGAAUCAUUGGGCGUAAAGGGCGUGUAGGCGGUUUGUUAAGUCAUGUGUGAAAUCCCUCGGCUCAACCGGGGAACGACGCAUGAAACUGACAAGCUAGAGUACCAAAGAGGGGGGUGGAAUUCCCGGUGUAGCGGUGAAAUGCGCAGAUAUCAGGAAGAACACCUAUGGCGAAGGCAGCACUCUGGGACGGUACUGACGCUGAGACGCGAAAGCGUGGGGAGCGAACAGG